rnacentral:rRNA from 1 species
UAAGCGAGAUGUGAAUCUAAGGGCUCAACCCUUAACUGCAUUUCGAACUGGCAAACUUGAGUAUGGGAGAGGAAGUUGGAAUUCCAGGUGUAGGAGUGAAAUCCGUAGAUAUCUGGAGGAACACCAAUGGCGAAGGCAGACUUCUGGCCCAUUACUGACGCUGAGGCACGAAAGCGUGGGGAGCGAACGGGAUUAGAUACCCCGGUAGUCCACGCCGUAAACGAUGGAUGCUA